rnacentral:misc_RNA from 1 species
AAGUCGUAACAAGGUCUCCGUUGGUGAACCAGCGGAGGGAUCAUUACAGAGUUGCAAAACUCCCAACCAUUGUGAACCUACCUCACCGUUGCUUCGGCGGGUGGCCCGGGGCAACCCAGGCCGCGCCGGCCCCUCCUUCAGGGGCCGGCAAACCCGUCAGAGGACCGAAACUCUUCGUCAUCAGUGGCCCUCUCUGAGUAACUUAUACAAUAAGUCAAAACUUUCAACAACGGAUCUCUUGGUUCUG